CCCUCUGCUUGUUGAACUAGACUGGCCUUAGUCUGAAAAGGCGAGCCAGUGUCAUUGCUCAUUAAAGGAAUGCAUGCUUUUCAACGGAGCCCUAUUUCUAGCAAGCAGGGACCAAAGGAGGUAGCUAGCCGGCAAAUAGGGUUAAUCCGGCCAGUUAUAGGACAAGAGCAUAUACAAGAGGGGAAACAAGAACUUUAAAGUUCCAGAGUUCAUCCUGCCAGACAAAUGGACUAUCCAAAGCAAGAAUUAACAGCAAAUUACUUUGAUUUGGGGAGAGGGGAACAGAGAGGCAAUGAAUCAAAUUCAAAAGCGUGGAAUCGCAGAACAAAUGUGAAUGGUAAAUAUGAAGACAUUAGAAGUUCUCUCAAAGCCAAUUCUAGAGAUGUCACCAUGGGGAUGAAAGAAAUCGGACAGACUCUUAUCAGACUCCAGGUUGGGGGAGAACAAGUGCCUGAGUUGGUAAUUCAAAUAGGGAUGAAGGAGGCUGAAAUGUCUUUGUUGGUGCACAGGCCGGGCAGGGAAAUAUCUUGGGCUUUGAAUCAGCUAAAAGAGGGAGGAAACAAACGCAAAGUACUCUGAUUGUGAGCUGGAAGACUCGCUCUGCUCAUUUCCCAUUGUGCUGGAUUUUCUUAGACGCCUUCUCAAAGCUGUGGCCCUGGAAUGAUUUUUCCUGUGAACUAGCAUGGGGAAACGAGAAUUGACAUCUGUGUGAUGAGCAGACUCGGAUUGGCUCAGCAGAGUGACCUGCUCAACUCUGGAAUGCUUUCCAAAGCUUCUUCUCAACCAGAUGCAAAGAACUUGGGAACCACCAUCAGAAGGCUUAAAUAAAGGCUUAAGUAAAAUGCUGACCAGCCUGGUAACUUUCAUGAAGAAGGCUCCCACAUGGCAUUCAUUGAUUGAGAACUAACGGUACAAGGCACUGUGCUAGUUACAUUUAAAUUAUGCUGAUUGGAGAAUAUUUUGACCCAGAAAAUACUGGCUUGGGAAGUGAACAGCUGGCCAAGAAGCUGGACUGGAGACAGGAGAUCCUGGGUUCACAUCUGGCCAGAGAUAUGUCCUAGCUGUAUGACCCUGCACAAGUUACUUAAACCCAUUUACAUCUCUUUCCUGCCUUGCAGUUCAUCCUUAAGUUUCAAUUCUAAGACAGAAGAUCCAGCCAAGCCGAAGAGACGAUUAGAUUGCAUGAGAGUAAAUGAGAUGAAGACCACAAGAUCCCUCCUAAAUGACUCCCUGCAGAAAUUGUGGCAGGACUGUGGACAAUGAAUUGCCGUCUCAUCUACAAUUCUAACAGCACCUAGUUCUGGAUGAUGCCUCCUCAC